AGCUCCAAUAGCGUAUAUUAAAGUUGUUGCGGUUAAAAAGCUCGUAGUUGGAUUCCUGUCUUCGGCCGGGCGGUGCCGCCCGAUCAAAGGGCGUCGCACUGCUUUGGGUCGGCGGUGUCAAAGCCGUCGACUUUUAACGGUCGGACAAUACCACCGGAGCGGUCGCGUCGGUCCGUCGGGCCUCCGGGUCCGGCGGUCGCCGGCGCGGCCCGUGAUCGUCCGAGGAGCCCUUAACGUUUACUUUGAUCAAAUUAGAGUGCUCCAAGCAGGUGCAUACCUUCGCCUUAAGAGUACAGCAUGGAAUGAUGGAAUAGGACCUCGGUCUUAUUUUGUUGGUUUUUCUAGACCCGAGGUAAUGAUUAAUAGAGACGGACGGGGGCAUUCGUACUGCGACGCUAGAGGUGAAAUUCUUGGACCGUCGCAAGACGAACGACUGCGAAAGCAUUUGCCAAGAAUGUUUUCA
rnacentral:rRNA from 1 species